UGGGCUUCCAGGUUUCUCUGUUACAUGUGUUUUUGUCUUCUUCGUGUCAUCCCUCUCCCUCUCCUCACAUCCUCUUUAUGUAUAUUUGAACAAUUCACAGCAUACAUUUCAGACCUCAGAGCUGCCUCCCUCCACCUCCUCUGCCAGUGUUUAUUUUUUAUUAUUAUAUAACCGUGUCCCUGUGGACCUUGAAGACACUGCUAACUAAUUUUAUUUGACGCCGCUGCUGCUGCUGUUUAUAACAGGAAACUGCAAUGUUUUCUGAGCUUAUUCAUUUAACAAAAUGUAACCUGAGGCAAACAUGACGCAAAAAGAGUGGAGCUGCAUUCUUUCACAUCUUCCAGUUUGGUCUUUGGCUUGGUUAGCUCCAGGAUCCGUCUCUGGAAGCGCUGGCUGAAAGGGAUCAACAAGUCGUCCAAGUCCACCUCCAAGGUGAUGCGACCCUUUUGUCUCGCUAUGUUUGACAUCAGCUGGCUGGUGGUGGGCGGUUCACCCCAAAUCUGAAACAAACAAACAAAAAAAAAAACAACCAGAGUUGGAGUUUUCAAG